rnacentral:lncRNA from 1 species
AGGUUCAAAGAAGACAUUAAAACUUGUGGAAUUUGUGCCAAUCGAUUUGAAACAGAGCUCCUGUUACCCAAAGUUCCAAACAAACCAAGCAGAACUGAGGCUCCUGCACAGUAUUAUAUCACCAGCUAUGGGAAUGCUACUUUUGGAACCAGCACUGUCCAUGUGGAAAGACAGAGCAUCUUGGAUAAAUGAAAACAGCCACAAAGGAUAAAUCACUAGCACAACAUCAUUUCUAUCAACGGUAUUUUAUGAUCAUUUCAAAUAAAAAAAG